UACGAAGGGGGCGAGCGUUGUUCGGAUUUAUUGGGCGUAAAGAGCGUGUAGGCGGUCUGGUAGGUCCGUUGUGAAAACUCGAGGCUCAACCUCGAGACGCCGAUGGAAACCAUCAGACUAGAGUCCGGAAGAGGAGAGUGGAAUUCCUGGUGUAGCGGUGAAAUGCGCAGAUAUCAGGAAGAACACCCGUGGCUAAGGCGGCUCUCUAGUACGGUACUGACGCUGAGACGCGAAAGCGUGGGGAGCGAACAGG
rnacentral:rRNA from 1 species